CCAUCCUGGAUAAAAUCUCUUUUCAAAAAUUUGACAUGCUAGCUCACAAUCACAUUGUAAUCCUUCGAAAGAUAAAAAUAAUACCCCAAAGACUCUUUUAGGUAUCCUAUAAAAUGAGCUCUCAUAGACUUUACCUCUAAUUUGUCUGUCUAUUAUCGUUUGACAUAGAUCAGACUGUUGGGGAUGUCUGACCAGGAUACUACCACUGC
rnacentral:lncRNA from 1 species